rnacentral:rRNA from 1 species
AUACGUAGGUGGCAAGCGUUGUCCGGAAUUAUUGGGCGUAAAGCGCGCGCAGGCGGUCCUUUAAGUCUGAUGUGAAAGCCCACGGCUCAACCGUGGAAGGUCAUUGGAAACUGGGGGACUUGAGUGCAGGAGAGGAAAGUGGAAUUCCACGUGUAGCGGUGAAAUGCGUAGAGAUGUGGAGGAACACCAGUGGCGAAGGCGACUUUCUGGCCUGUAACUGACGCUGAGGCGCGAAAGCGUGGGGAGCAAACAGGAUUAGAUACCCUGGUAGUCCACGCCGUAAACGAUGAGUGCUAAGUGUUAGGGGGUUUCCGCCCCUUAGUGCUGCAGCUAACGCAUUAAGCACUCCGCCUGGGGAGUACGGCCGCAAGGCUGAAACUCAAA